GAUCGGGAUUAGGAGUGAUGCCAAGUUCUGCAGUAAUAGUAAAAGAACAUAAAGAUUAUUACUUCUUAGGGUCCCUCCAACAUUUGUCACAAAAUACAGGGAGUAGGAUGCUACAAAAAUAUAAAAAUAUUUUUCAUGACUCUUUGGUCUAGAGGGCUUCACUGUUAACAUAGGGGGUGCCUUUUCUCUCCAGAAGGUGACUUGGUGGUACCCCAAGGAAAUCAAUGGGCUUCAGCAGUUUAGAGUUGAUUUUCAGCAUCUGGAUUUUGCCCCCACCCUGUUGAGCAAAGAAGAAGUAGGAGAAAAAAAGAGAAAAUAAACUGUGUUUCCCACAAACCCAUCUUGCAGCAUAAGCCAAUCACUGGGCCAAGAACAAACAACCCCUGGGGAUGAGGAAUUCUUCCAUCUCCAAAAAUGAGGAGCUGCUCCACUUGUGCCCUCCCUCUGCCCUGAAUGGCUCCUGACCUGCAGCGGCUGCACCCUUCUUAGUGCCGACUCACUCAGGAGAGAAUGUAGAUCCUCUGUCUCCAGAUAUUGAAUGUACAGUGACAACAACCUGGAGGUUUUAUUUUCUGGGUGCAUCUUGACCCCCACUAUGCCAGUUACACCCGUGCCCACAACCCCAAUCCUGCUCCCUGCUAUGGCAGAAUCUGCCAGGUUCACACAUGGAGCUUGAAGUGAAUGUAGGAUGAAAAUGCUGAAGAAAAAAGCCACAGCACCUCCCCCCUCUCCCUAUAACGAAGUACUGUGUGUGCCCUCCUGAAACCUUGUCUGCACCUUCAUCAUUUAUCAUUAAAAUGCCCAUCUGUGCCAUGGGACUUGCUCCUCCUGCUUAAACCCAGACUUCCUGCUGAUUCUAUGAGCACACUGGGCUCCUGAUCAUGGUACACAGUCCUGUUUGUCUGACCCACUGUUUGGCUUUAGAGUUUUGCCUGAUUUUAGCUGUUGCCUCCUGUCGCUAACGUGCCAACUCAGCCUGCUUUUUCAGAAGCCACCCUACUGUGCCCCUCUCUUACCAUGUGACCUACAGUAACAGCCCAGUAGGGUUGCAGGGUAGGAUAUGGAGCAAUACAGGGGAAAAAAAGGUAAGUUUGGGUUGGAAUGGAGGGCAGGCCAGAGACUUAUCUUGAGGCUGGUAAAUUUGUAAUAUACUGGCCCCGCUCUUGGCAGGUGUUUUACCAUCUAGGGCAGUAAAAUACCGGCCGGUGGUGACACUACAGCCCAGUCACUUGCUCUUACAAUUUCCACACAUAUUUUACUUAGCUAAUUGCCUGGAUAGAAGGGAAGGGGGGUGUUUGCAGGCAGAACCAGUAUGGCUUGUGAAUAACAGGGGCAUGGCCAAGAUGCACACAGUUUAUAAUACAACCAUGUUGGUGUCUGUGCUUUGACCUAAACAAUUCAUGAAAAGUAAAUGUUCUAUUUCUUUCUAAAUCACCUGAAUGUGGAGUUGCCACUUUUGCCAGCGGGUAUUGGACUGACCAGGCUGGUAAAUUACUGCCCACACCCGAUCCACCCAUUUCCCACCCCUUACAUUUUAGCCCCUACCCAAAAUGAUGUCACAACCCACACACAGCUCAUACUGGGCCCACAUAAUGGUACGCUAUUGGAUGAUGAGGGUACCAACCAAUGGAGGCUAGGAUGGAGGGAAUUUAUUUAAGUUUUACAUUGCCCCAAACAGACACACACAUUAGUCACAUUCAUAUACGUACCAAUGCUAAUAGGCACACACUUACUCAUAUUCAUUUAAUAAUUACAAACACAUGUAUGCACAGUAUAAACAGUAUAUUCAUACCUGGCAUGGCGGGGAGUCCAUGAGUACCAAGUGUAACCACGUGUAAUCAGCUAUCCAUUCCUGGGGUUCUUUAAAUGGCACCACUACCUCUCUGAGCGGCGUGCCCCUACAGAAACACAUCUGCAUAGGGAGCAUAUUUACUGAGGAAAUGCAGCAUUGCUGUAUAUACUGGGGUGACCAGAUCACUUGAAAAUUCAGGGAUACAUGGAGUUUUUAGACGUGUCCCUGAAUUUCCAAGUGAUCUGAUCACCCCAGUAUAUAAGGAAUCCAUUGCUUAAUUGCUGAUGUUAUUUCAUGGCUCACACAUUAUUAAUAUGUUUUUAAGAGGUAUGGCAGUGAAAUCCAUAUAUACAGUUUAUUGGGCCCACAGAACAGAUGGAAGUCUAGGCUGUUUACUUAAAUGCUUUGGUCUUUUUCCAGGAUUUUGCUAAUGAGGUAAUUUGCUAAUUAAUACUUGGCUGUAUCCAGCAUAUAUAGAUAAGAAGUUGGUGUUCAUAUUGUGUAUGCAUUGCAGUGGCAAAUAAUUAUUUUCCCCAGAAAUCAAAUGCCCGCAAGUGGCAGGAUAUUAUUGUAGUGUGAUGCUACGGGUGGGGGCCAAAUUACACUUUUACUACUACAGAAGCCUGAUGGGCAGAGGGAGAUUUUUGUAUUUGGGGAGCCCCUUUGCUGUUGGGGCUAUAGGAUGAUAUAUGACUAUAGGAGGGGUGAAAGGUGGACCCCAGAACAUAAAUGUGUUUGCCAGUCUGCGUGUCACCACUCCAUUUACCUACAAAGGGACACUAUUUAUUUAAUAGGAUUAGGAGCAUAGACAGGUGAACAGGGGCAUCUUGACCACCACUGUUCUCCACCAGAGGGCAGCACUGGUCAGGGCACCCUAUAAGCCAGUUUGGUACCUUCUUAUUAAGUAAAUCAGUAUCAGUUCUAAGCCUUUAUAUGUUCCCAGUCUGCCUAGCAAAUUCAGCAUAUGUUUUUCCCCACACAAAACAAGAUUUCAUGCAAGUGUAGCACCAAACACACGGCACAUUACAUCUGUUAAUGAGAGUGACUGACGGUUCUGCUAAACUCCAACAGAUCCAGCAGCCUGUCAGUAACGUGGGCAGUUACCUGGCACCUACUCCCAUUGUUCCCUAUAGAUCUCUGCAGAUUGAACUCUAAAGCGGCAAAAUGUCUGCAAGGCUGGAUGUUGGGAGAGUUGGUAAAGGGUGGGCUGCUCACUUAGCAGGAAGACUGGGUACAAUAUCUAGGGGUAAAAAUUGGGUGAUUGAGGUAGAUCCACACUGCAACCCUCCAGCUAUUGCUGAGAGCUGACGUUAAACAACAGAAAGAGACAUAGAGGGUGAAUAACAGAUGUUAUUGAAAAUAUUCUGUGUAAUUUAAUCAACAUUGUCUCUUCAAGGGGACACCUGUUAGCCUUGGGAUCAAGGGCAACUUACCUCUCAGCCCAAGCCUAGCAACUUCACUCAAUAGUUUGGCUAGUUAAGCUGUAACUCUAUGCUGGCUGCUAUUGGAAAAUGGAACAACUUAACUCUGACUUAGGGUGGGGGCUCAACUGCAGCUCACUAUCUGCCUGCUUAAAGGACAAUGGAAGUCAAAUUAUCUAGGGCAGCCGCCUAUGACACCAGUUGAACACUCCGCGGGAGUCCUGAUGCUGCUGAACCUGACAGCGCCAACAUCUAUGCAGACUGGGACAGAGGAAGAGCACAGUUCCAGACCAAACAUACACAUAAUGACCUCCUUGCAAUG